AUUAUGCUGUAUCUGCUCGUACCCACACGUCGUUCGUAUGUAAUAUACCCAAAUCAGGGUCGAUUACAUACGACUUCUCUACCGAUUUGGAAACCCUAGACUCGGUUUGGUGUGCUCGGAGAAUCAGCAGUAGCAAAAUUGGAAGCAGAAAUCGUAUAUUUGCAAGUGUUGCUAAGUGGAGCAGAGAGCUUGUGAAACAGAUAAGUUUUACUAAUAUAUUCUAUUUGUAAUCUCGUUAUUUGAUAGUGUAUGUCCAGCAUAAGAUGUGUUUUACAAUAUGAGUAAUUACAUGCUUCUACUAACUAUUUCAUACUGUAUGAAAAGAAUUUUAAGGGGACACACCUUUUGUUUGACGACACUGUUUCCUCUUGGAGCCAAUAGUGCAUGAUGAUGUAAUUUUCCUCAUGUUCUGAAAUAAGAAUGCUUGAGAUUCUGUGGUUUUGAUGGGAAUGCUUUACCUCCUGUAUUAUUUGUUGGAUGAGAGUAUUGUGUUCACAGCAGUUUUGUAAAUCCCAUUUGAAAUAAUUGUUUGUGUAUUUAUAUAGGAGGUGCCAUGGUUUCUAUUGAAAAGAAAGACAUUAGUCCUUAAUUAUUCAUGUUAUCAAGCACAUAGGGAAGGUAAAAGGUUUUGUCAGCUCUCUCAAUUAAUUUUUUGAAGCUGAAAGUGAAGGUGUUCGGGUCAUAUAUGUGACAUCUUAGAUGACCCAAGUUUAAGUUCAGUAAACAUAUAGACUAUGCACA